rnacentral:rRNA from 1 species
GACGAACGCUGGCGGCGUGCUUAACACAUGCAAGUCGAGCGGAAAGGCCCUGCUUUUGUGGGGUGCUCGAGUGGCGAACGGGUGAGUAACACGUGAGUAACCUGCCCUUGACUUUGGGAUACUUCAGGAAACUGGGGCUAAUACCGGAUAGGAGCUCCUGCUGCAUGGUGGGGGUUGGAAAGUUUCGGCGGUUGGGGAUGGACUCGCGGCUUAUCAGCUUGUUGGUGGGGUAGUGGCUUACCAAGGCUUUGACGGGUAGCCGGCCUGAGAGGGUGACCGGCCACAUUGGGACUGAGAUACGGCCCAGACUCCUACGGGAGGCAGCAGUGGGGAAUAUUGCACAAUGGGCGGAAGCCUGAUGCAGCAACGCCGCGUGCGGGAUGACGGCCUUCGGGUUGUAAACCGCUUUCGCCUGUGACGAAGCGUGAGUGACGGUAAUGGGUAAAGAAGCACCGGCUAACUACGUG